CAAUGACAGCGAACAUUGCUACGCAGCCAAUGACGAACAUGCACACUGAUUGACUCAAAGUCACCGAUUACCACAAUCAAAUGGCAGGUACCCAAGAUGUACAUGGCGACCAGACGAUUUAACAUGUGCGGUAUCAGUGAAAUCCCAGCUUUGUCCGCCAGAGGGCGCUAUGAACGUCUCAAUGGUUCAGCAGGAGCCCUCGCCAGUCGUGCUGUCAAACUGUACACAGAACAAUUUACAGACCGUCUGGGAUGGAUUUCGCGUGACCAGCUUGUCAGUUCCACUGAUUCAUCCUCCACCUGGACUGUGAGCUUUAGUGCACGAUGGAGCAACCUAGCCGCUAACUGCGUCUGAGGAUUUCAAACAAUUAAUGAAAACGUGUAACUUAAACGGAGGUUGUAAAAGUGGAACAAAUAGUGAUUACAUGGGUCUAAAUAAAGGCUUGUGGCAGUAGAGCUAAUAAAAGACACCAAAUAAGGGCGCUUUAUAAACAUGUAGUAACAAUGAUCACUGGGCUAAUGAAACUUAAUCUGUCUGGAAGUCCUGACCUCAUUUGAUGCUUUAUUAGCAAUAUUGAUUUUUUACAAUCCAGCCUCAACCCAGUUAAAGUGGGGGUGGAUGUUCGCAUAUCAGCUUUGUCCGUACGCCAACUAACAUCAACAAAUCCUCCACGGACAGAUUAGCACUUGUAUCAUUCUGGAUCGUUUUGGGGGUUGGAUCUUUCUCAUCUCAAGAGAUUAAAAUUCACACUCAAAACCGGAUUUCACUCGUAAGUAUGAUUUUGACUGAUAAUCUGAUUGUGAUAAUCCCAAUCUUGAUGCGUGUCAUAAUCCAUGGCUAGACAUCUGACCAAUAAGCACUCAUUUUUCAUUUAGCAGGCGCUAACUACAACGAUAUGUUUUUACAGCUAAAGGCCUAAAGGCAAACCUCCCCAGCUUCAAAUCACAUGACCUUCUUAAAAAGUGUCUUGCUAUUGUUGGCUAGUCAAGUAAUGAAUACAAAGUGGAGGUGCCCAGCAACUGCUUUAUUUAUUGUUUUUGCAGAGCGUUUGGUUACAUUCCGCUCACCUCCCGCCAAUAAUUCCUUCUGAUGGAGAGGCGUACGUUGUUUAAGCUAACACCAGACGUGUUUAUGCGCCGAGGCCUCCGGUAGCCCGACUAGUGUGACAUCACCCGAAAUCCCCCCCAGCUGCUUGGCAGAGGCGUCCCGUCCUU